AAUCCUUAUGUAAAAUGUAAAUAGAGAUAAGCAUUACCAAAAGAUUAAUUCAGCGUUAUUCAUUUCAUUUCUCCUGUUAUUUCUCUCCUUAUUUCUCUCAGUCGAACUCGAAACUGAGAAAACAGAUCAAAAAAGUUCAAAAAUCAAACCUAAAGAAAUCUCUUCUCUACUAUUUUUAACUUCAUUUUAUUAUUACAAGAUUCAGAAUCAAAAUCCGUGAAGAAAAAAACCGAAAUUAGGGUUUGAGAUUGAAAUCAUUAUGAUGUUUAACUGUAAUCUUCGUAUCUAACUUGUAACCAACGAUUCAAGUUGGUACUGUUCAAAAUUUUACCGGUGUUGUUGGAGUUGAGAAGGGAGAAAACUAUGAAGUUAAAAUACAAUUUUUGCUUGUUUUGAUAUAUGAAGAUAUGUUGAAGAAGUUUAUAUUUUGUUUGUGACAAUGUUGAAUGAUUAUUAGCGAUUUAGUGUCUGAAUUAGUAUUAUGGUUUGAAAUUUCCCGUUCAAUUGUAGUUCAUUGAGUCUGUGUAAUUAGGUUGGAAAUGUUAAUCAUAGAUAUCAUAAAAAUUAUGUAAUUUGUUGGUUUGAUUUUAAAAGAAAUGUUAAAUCACACAAACUGUUGCAGGUGAUGUGUGGUUUACAAAGUAUUAAUUGAAGCUUGUUAUUAACAUUUUAAGUA